AUCUCUUUUCAGGUAGAAUAUAGGGAUUUUCAAUCACAGAAGUUAAGUUGUUCUCCAGAAUCAGUUCUCCUCUAAGUAAGGUCAAAAC
rfam:Sarcophilus harrisii ctg7180001713761, whole genome shotgun sequence.